UACCGGAGCCCGGAUCAGCAGGAACAAGAGGCGCCGUAGGCCCGGCCAGGCCUGAGCUCCCCCCACAGGAGUGAGACCGGCCUUGUGGGAUUCUGCUGUCUCCAAACCUCUCUGGAAGGGAAGAGAGGAAGAGGCUUCUCUCUCCAUCUAUUUGUAUGCUGGGUUACGUAAAGGAAUAAGAUGGAAUACUUCCUUCCUUCCUUCCUGGUGACCAGGAAGGAAGGCCUAAACUCAAAACCAUAACAAACAUACAAAACAUUUAGGAAUUUUAAAACCAAACAGCACUGCUACUGUGUGCAAUAUGCAGUACCUGAGCAAAGAUGAAACUGUGAAAUUUGUGAGAAGACUUGUGAAAUAUCCACUAGGUUACAUAUUGGCACCUUGUUCUGGCAAUACUGCAACUGUGAUUUUUUUUCCUUUUUUUGCACAAAACCAAACUGAACAAAAGGAUCAUUAUACAGUUUUCCCUGCUUUGAUAGCAAAUGACAGUUUCAAGAAAAUGGACUCUUCAGAUGAAAAUAUCAUUUUGCCAGGAUCACUAAUCUACUUGGAUGAUACUGACAGAAACAGGUUACAAUAUGUACUGUAGUUUAUAACAUGGUUUGUAUGUCUUACAAACCAUCUUGUUCCUUUAAGACAUCUCUCCAGAUUAAGGGUUUCACUCAAGAGAAAGGAAUCUAUGACCUCCUAAUCAUCCAGGACCUUUAGAAAAGCAGUCUGCUCCUGUUACGGACUAGUCUUUCUCUGGUAGCUGAUGUGAAGGUAAGCAGAAUUGUUUGUACUUGGUGUUUCGUUUAAAGAACCUUCCCCAGACAGCAAUGUUAGUGUUCAACAGGUAUUUACCUUGAACAGGAUGCAAGAGUUGAUCAUAAUGUGGCCCUAAAAAGGGAGGUAAUUUAUUUGAAAGAAUGAUUCUAAACAUAUGCACAUAUGAAUUUAAUUUCAGAAAAGGAGAACAAGGAGUAUGUGAGACUUUCUCAGGAGCAAAACUCUUUUUAUGAUGGCUGUACUGGACUAAGCAAAACUUUCCAGGAUUUCUUGUGAGGCAAGAACUUCCAUUGUUAAGCAAAUGUGCUAAAACCCAAAUUAACUCUUUCUCUAGUCUGUGUCAAACUCCCUUCUGCCUGAAAGGAGAAAAAAUCCCAACAACAUUAAAGUAAAUAUUUAAGACUGUGCUUCAAUGGAACCUGGUGCUUAUAGACAAAUUAUAGUCCUGCAUGUGCUUUUAAAAAUGUGUAGAUUUUAUUUCAAAAAAUUCCUUCUUCUGUAGAAAUAACCCAGAUGCUUAGAAAAAUGCCUAGAAAUGUGUAUUUUGCACAUAUCCUGAGCUGCUUCUAUCUUGACAGACUGAAAACCCACGUCAGAUCAUUACUGAGAAACAGUUAUUUCUCUGCAUGACUCCUCUCCAGGCAUGUUGUACUGCCACGGUCAGUAAAGAUCCUUGUAAUAGGGUCAAUGUGCUGGCUAUUAUGAAUCCUAUUUUAAGCUAUCAACCUGGAAUGUCUGAGUGUGAGUCAAUUGAUUAGAUCCAGUGCGGGAGUCAUCCAGCUCACAGGAAACUCUGUGGAUGCUCAGCACUGCAGCAUGAAAGCCAGUUUUUGCCAUCUACCCUCAUGUUGUCAAGUUCGCUGUUCUUAAUUGUGGUGACUGAGUCAUCAGUCUGACACGUAGUAAAGAAGCAGCUGUUCAUUUUCUGCUAUCUAAACAUUUGUCAUUGUUUAUGCCUUUUAAAACGUUCAUCUUUUUUGGUUAAGACUCAUCUUGACAUAAUUUUAAAUUAUGAAGGGCUAGAGGUGUUCAUCAAGAAACAGAUUAGAACACAUAGUAGACCUGGGUAAUUAUUUAAGGCCCAAAAAGGCGUUACAUGGUGCAUUUUAACUGAAGCUUUAGUGGAUUGCUAAAUUAAAUGAGCGUUUUAAUGAUAAACAUGUUUGAGUUAAUCAAUUGAGUACAACUAUAGGGAGAUUGUGUAAGUGGGUUUAUGAGUUGAGAGACACAUCUGCUUAGUCUUUGUUUAAUAACAGAUUUGACAACUAGCUAAUGGUGCACAAUAUCUAAUGUUCUUAGAAGGGGUGCUGGCCCCAUGAGUAGCCUGAAAUUUGUUAGCAUAACAAACCAGAUAUUUGUGAUAAUGAGAAUAACUUUUGAAUUAGAAAUAUUAUUUAAAUCUUGUGGAGUUGGUAUAUAACACAUCUUACAAGUGUUUGAUGGUAACACCUAAUUAUUUGAAAAGUGGAAGCAUGUAUUUCAGAGUGAUUAAAAAUUUUACUUUAUACGACAUUUAAUCUAUCUUUUUUAGAAAAUGCAGCAAUGUCAUUUUUAGUAAAAGUUUAUAAAAAAGCACUGGGCAUUUAAAACUGCUGGAAUUCUUGUUUGACAAAUCACCAAAGAUCUAGAAAAUUUUUUAGGUCACUUUCCUAUUACUUGACAGUAAAAAAAUCCCCAAACCCCCAAACUACUGGUGGAUUUGAAAAUAGUUAGGUCACACUGAUUGCAGAGUUUUUACUUUACAAGUCUAAAAGCAGAAAUCCAAAACUGGUCCCAGUUUAUAUUAAGUAAUUUUUGCUCGGCCUUCUCUGCACAUAAAAAUAAUGUUAAGGAAAAUACAGUCAAGGACAAGAAAUUAUUCUGGGGGGAAUGAUAGUUUUUGGCAGUGCAAAUACUAGGAGCAACUGAAGAGAAUAAGAUUUCUCAGUCAAUAUUAUUGGCUAUGUCACAAUCAGCACUUUCUUGCUAUGCCCCUGACUCAUCUCUGGUUGCCACAUUACAGGGGUGGUAAGAAGUAAUUGAAACUCUUGCUCCACCUUGCCUUUAAGGAGGACAUAUCUCCUUUAGAUUCUGCCCGUGAACAUACAAUUCUCAGUUCUGGUUUGUUCUGCUUUGUUGCAGUAGGUUGGUGUAGAUUUUCUUUCAUGUGAAAGAAAAAAAGAGCAACACAUACAUGAUUAAUAUAGCACCUGUUCAGAAUGUAAACCUUGGAAUUUAGCUGGAACCCUAAGACCUUUAUGGGAAGGUCAAACUCAAAGCAACAUUCAUAUCACAGUCAGUUCCUCUUUUAAUUAAGGUCUAAGGUAUCCAGUAUUUGAUCCAUAGUCUACAUUGAUAUUAAAUGUAAGUCAAAUUGGUCUUUGUUCCUAUUCAACAUCAUACUGCUCUCUGGUCUUCAUCUAAAGGUGAAGGCACAUGGUGUGAUUCUUAGGGUAGUCCUGUGCAGAGCCAGGAGUUGAAUUUCUGUGACCCUUGUGGGUCCUUUCCAACUCAGGAUAUUCUAUGAUUCUGUGAUUCUAAAGAUAUAGUUGUACAUAUCUGUCCCUAGUGUUGUUUCAUGGAAAUGCACUUCCUGUUGAACUCAUAUUCAUUACGAGAACUAGGAUCUCAGGCAAUACAUUGCAAAUGUGCAAAUAUAUACACACAUAUAUUUAUGUACUGGACCUAUAUUUUUUCUAUAUAAUUGUCAAUGUGUUCCUUUUGCAUUCAUGAAAUAUUAUGGGCUCCCUCUGGUGGGCCAAAACAAUAUCUUUGUAUUGUAUAGUCACUGUAAAGUAUUGGGAGCCCAUUUAGCCUAAAGGAAAAGAAAUGUUUGUUCUGUGUAUCUAGGGUUGGUAGUUCAAAUCUGGAUUUCUUAGCUAAUUUUGAUUUCUUUCCAGUUUGUGGUUCUGUCUUAGAAACACUGUAUUUUCAAUGUUUAAUUCUCAAACCUGAAAAUAAUUUAAUUACAAAAUAUAUUAAUGAAAAGACUAAAUAACCUGAAUUAAAGCUGAAGGUUCAGGUUUCAUGGAUACAUGAUAACAGUAACCAAGAGGAACAAUAGGUCUCCCAACUGAAUCACACAGAUACUAUUUUGAUAGAUUACUAAAACAAUUAUUUUUUUUUCAGAGUAUUCUGCAUAAAGUAGUUUUGCACACUAAACCUAGUUGCUCUGAAGAACUUGCUGUGUCUAUAUCUCAAAAGAUGAAUUGCUUGUUCAAAAUCAGGACUGUACCUUGCUUGUUAGUACUUUUUCCGUAGAAAUAUUUUUUCAUUUUUUUCUACAGUUUCUGUGAAAUUAUGGUGAUCUCAUCUCUGUGAAGUGAAUAGUAAGCUUUCUUAAUCCCUUCCUCUUUAACAUGCAAUUUACUUAAUGUGGCUAUUUUUUGAACUUGAUACAAUUAUGAAUUGAUUAAUUCUUAUAACUUUCCCAAAACAGAGUCAAAAUUUGUAGCAGAUCUGAGCUAUUUUAUAGGUACAGGAAAGACAAGUCAUAAGGGAAAUGCUUUAGCUAAACAGAGAUGGAAUUUAAACAUGGAAAAUCAUCACAAUAGGCUGAGAGACUGAAAUGAGGUAUAUAAGCAAUAGGUGAUUAUGUUAAACAUGAUUACAUUACCCUGAUUUGCAGACACAGUUGUAUCUUACUCAAAGUAGUUACUUAUUUGAUGAACUCAUUUUGUCAAAAGGUUUUUUUUGGGAAGUUUUUUCAUCUAAUGAAACUGUAAGCUUUUUUUCUUCUUGUCCACAAAUCGUGUACCUUUUAGUACUGUUGUGUUGCUUUAUUACCUCUUCUAAGAAGCCUCAACUUUCAUUGAACUGUUAAGAAGAUGAAUAUAUCUCUGUGCUUAGUUGUGUUGUUAGAGGCAAAUUUCCUAUUAAAAGAUUAUGGCUCCCCAAACGGCACUGAAAAAUGCCCUAGAACUCCAGAGCAAGAAAUAAUUUCUGACAGUGAUCAGAAGAACUUCCAACAGAAAAGAAGAGGAUAAGGGCAAAACUUUUAAUUUGUUCACCUCUCUUACAAAGACCUGCUGAAAGGUGUCUCUAAGCUUAGUGUGUGUCAUUGUGAUCAGGUCCAUUGUUUUGUUGUUCUGAGUGUAAACUGAUAAAGCUUUACAAGAUGAAUCAUGACUGACACUAAGCUGACCUCAAAUGCAUUUAGGAAGCUGAUGAAGAGGAGCAGAGCCUUCCACUGAACUGUUAUCUUUUAGGAAGAUAAGACUGUUUCAAAUCCAUAUUCCAAACUGUCAUCUCAU